UACGUAGGGUGCGAGCGUUGUCCGGAAUUAUUGGGCGUAAAGAGCUCGUAGGCGGUGUGUCACGUCGUUACGUGAAAACCUGCAGCGUUAACUGUGGGCGUGCGGUCGAUACGGGGCUGGCUGGAGGCAGGCAGGGGGAGAACGGAAUUCCUGGUGUAGCGGUGAAAUGCGCAGAUAUCAGGAGGAACACCGGUGGCGGAAGGCGGUUCUCUGGGCCUGUACCGAGCGCUGAGGAGCGAAAGCGUGGGGAGCGAACAGG
rnacentral:rRNA from 1 species